AGCUCCAAUAGCGUAUAUUAAUGUUGUUGCAGUUAAAAAGCUCGUAGUUGGAUAUCUGGCCUUUGCGUUGACGACCCGCCCUCUUUUGGGAUGAGCGUUGGAGACGUGGGUCUAUUUUCCGGUUGGUGUCCAUUCCACUUUAUUGGGGCGUGGUUCACGAUCCGGAUCGUUUACUUUGAAAAAAUUCGAGUGUUCAUAGCAGGCUUACGCCGUGAAGAUCGCAGCAUGGAAUAAUAACAUAGGACUUGGCGUUCUAUUUUGUUGGUUCUGGAACCUAAGUAAUGAUUGAUAGGGACAGUUGGGGGUGCUGCUAUAGACUGGCCAGAGGUGAAAUUCUAAGACUCAGUCUAGAGCAACUUAUGCGAAAGCAUUCACCAAGGAUGUCUUCU
rnacentral:rRNA from 1 species